ACUCAGUUGGUGGACCAUGUGACUCUUGAUCUCAGGGUUGUGGGUUCAAGCCCCACAUUGGGUG
rnacentral:tRNA from 1 species